GUAGGGUUUGCCUGCUGGAGGGGAGUGCAGGGGCAUAUGGAACACAGUGCCACAGUUUCUCCUGCCCAUAUGUGCUUAUGCACCAGGUGCAGCUGGGGGACAAACUGCAGAGCUAUUGGUCAAGAGUAUGUGGAUGGGAGCCCUGAGGGAAGGGAAGGGAAGGUAGCAGCACUACUCUGUGAGACAUAUCAUUGCAGUAGAGUAUGGAGCUAAAACAGAAGGUGAAAGAAAUCCAUAUGGGAGCCUUGGUGUUGUAGGGAGUUACAGACUAGACAAGCAGUAUCAGAGAAAGGCCCAAUUCUUUGAAUCCCAACAGAAUGAGAAUCUACAGCUUUCACCAUAUCAACAGAACAAAACAGGAGUGGGAGACAGCUAUGCCCAGCUGUCUGCUCUGUACACAUCCUACCACCAAGCACCACACACAGAUAUUGGCAGGGACCUGCAAAGAGAUCAUAAACUGAUUCCAGAUACAACUCUAAGAUGUCUCUAUUCAUGCUCCAGAGCUUCCCAGAAAUCUACACACUUCUCAGUGGUUUCUAACCAUUACUAAUUAUCCCAUAAGUAUCUAAUAGUCCUUUCCCAACUGUUCAGUAAGUUUGUGUCAUGAUACGGAUUGAUGUCCCUUUGCUUUGUUUUCUUAUUUCACACAGUCAAUCUGAAAAAUGCUGGAUUAUGGAUAAAACUUCUAUUUACACAUAGCAAUGCUACAUCUGUUAUGGAAUCUGUUUUGUUUCCAAAACAGAGCAUUCAGUAGAAAUAUUUCUACAGACUAUACCAGUUAUUUUUGCAUGUGAUACAUGAGAACGCUCACAAG
rnacentral:lncRNA from 1 species